GCCCUUAGCGGAGCGUGUGGUUUAAUUCGACGCAACGCGAAGAACCUUACCUGGGCUUGACAUGCGCGUGGUACGACCUCGAAAGGGGGAGGACCCGCAAGGGAGCGCGCACAGAUGCUGCAUGGCUUGUCGUCAGCUCGUGCCGUGAGGUGUUGGGUUAAGUCCCGCAACGAGCGCAACCCUCGCUGCCAGUUACCAUGUCUGGCGGGACCGCCGGGUCCAACCCGGAGGAAGGUGGGGAUGACGUCAAGUCAGCACGGCUCUUACGUCCAGGGCUACACACACGCUACAAUGGCCGGUACAACGCGCAGCGAUGGGGCGACCCGGAGCGAAUCGCAGCAAAGCCGGUCUCAGUUGGGAUUGCAGGCUGCAACUCGCCUGCAUGAACGCGGAGUUGCUAGUAACCGCGAAGGGC
rnacentral:rRNA from 1 species